CUGAUUUAUAACAAAAAACAUAACAAUGCCUAAACUGCUGUGAGACAAGGUGCACAGAAAACAAGAGAAAGUCCAGUGAGCACGUCCCUCUUAACCUAGCGGGUCUAAGAUAUGCGAGGCUGUCUGGUGGUUCAAGUAAACAUAUUUUAAAGUGCAAACACUUGUCAGUAUCGCACUCGUACAGACUCUUAAUCUGCUGGGUAGAAUUAAGUCCGUACAGAAUGGUGAGCGAUUUGACCAAUCGGGUGAAAGGGGCGUGACAGCACCGCCCACAUGUACGAAUCCCAUAUUGAGUCCGAAAUCCGUUUUUUAAACGACAAACGAAAAAUGAAAAAUCGGGGCGAAAUCUAAUUUUUCGUUUGUUGAACUAAACGAAAAAUGAAAAAACGAGUCAUCUUUCAGUUUCCAUUAAUUUAUUUAAUAUAGGAUAUCAAAUGAAUAAAACGUACACGGACCAGGAAACAUACAGUGAAAACAUUUUGACUCAGGUUAAGGUUGAUGUUUUUUUCUUAAGGUUCUUCUGCUACAGUCCUUUUCGAGGGUGAAAGAAACCACCGUGUUCCUUCUGCAUCUGUCGUACUACGUGACAGCAACCUGUUUCAAAUGGCUGGCCGAAUGAUAGGCCAUUCUUUCAUACAUGGGGGUCCUUGUUUUACUGGACUGAGUUUACCUGUGGUGAUCCUUCUUACUGGAGGGAGUGUGGACAGUGCAGUUUCAGUUCUGACGCUGGAGGAUUGCCCUGAUUUGGACCAUCGAGAAAUCAUUAGUUUGCUCAAGAAAACAGAUCACACUGAAGAGGAGUUUACUAGAUUGAGUGAUCUUUGCCUGUUCUGGGAUCUGAGUUCCAAAUCCCACAAAUCAAGACUGGCUGUUUCAACAGCUGUUGUCACAGGCUGUGCUUGGGCGUGUUAAGUGCCAGAUUAAAGAUGUUAGAAAAGGUAUAAAAGAAACCGGCAUCUGGCCACUUUUCUCCCAGAGACUUGACAGUCAACACAUUGUCUUCCCAAGGGAAUCGGCUAUGGACAUUACAGCACAGUCCGUCCUUCAGAAAAUUUCUUGGCCGAAGCCUUUUGAUGAAGACGACGAAGACAUCGCUCUUGAGACUGUCAGUAUGAUCACAGGCUUUAUGCGUAACUUUAUUGACGAAGCAUCACCAAACAUGCUAGCGGACCUGCUGAAGUUCUGGGUGGGAUGGGAGAUCCAUGAGGAAAACCUGGUUAUACAGGUGGUUACAGCAGAAUACCCUAUCGCACACACAUGUUUUAAUACAUUGCGAUUUCCAUGUCACUAUCAAAGCUAUGCAGCAUUUAAAAAGGAUAUGUUGAUGUGCCUGAACUCAGUCAAUAGUGGCCUGAUUUAACUAUUAAGAUGGGAAAAACAGAAGGCAUUAACUUAUUAGUACCAUCUCAAAAGUGGAGUUAAAAUGUUCUUAAACAGAGUUAUUAAAAAGGAUGCAAAAGUUUUACAGUGUUAG